rnacentral:lncRNA from 1 species
AUGUGCUAGCAUGGUUCUCAUAAACCUAAUAAAAUUUUAAUAAAUUUGAAUCAAAUUAAAACUUUAUAAGCCCAAUUAACACAUUCGAGAUUAAAUCCCUUAAUAUUGUAGUAAGACAUAUUGUGAUCUCCAUCACAUAUCAUCAAAAUUUUUUUCGAUGGAUUGAAAUAUUUUUAAUUCUAUCCUGCGAGGACCAUCAAUCAUCAAGACAAUACCCGAUAAGUUUCACAAUCCACCAGUGAUACCUAGCAGUAUGUAGUGGCAACCUAAUAGAAUGAAAGUAUGAACUCCUAGGUGCAGUUAUCAUAUGAUUCAGUCUUUCUAUCAUGAGUCCCGACUUGAUGAAGGUCCUGGAGAACUCGUCAGACACCAUCAUCAGUCAUAUGCUAAAUUGGUUCGACUCGAGUUUAUUUGUGAAUCUCGUAAAAAAAAUUUUCAGUAUUCACACUU